CAAGCCCUUCCCUCGCCCUUCGGAGGGUCCUCACAGGCCACUAUUGGUGCGCUCCGCCGCCAGUUAGGCAGUACAGCGAGGACGCGGUGCCUUCUGGGAAGCCGGGUGCCACUCAGCCUUGACGUCCGCCCUGUGCCUCGUUUCCGGUGCGGAACCCUGGUCUCCCCGCUCGGAGCGAGCCCUCUGCGCUUGAGAAAGCGAGGCUAGAGCCCGGUCGAUAGAGCGAACAGAGCCGUGGGGAGGCCAGGCUAAUGGCAGCCGCCCUCUCUGUGGCUCUGCAUAAGAAACAGAAAGCUGGAGGCUGGCUCCAGUCCUCCAUAACGGGCUGGCACGACUCCAGGUGCAGGCACGCUCACUCCAUGGCUUGCUGGGAAAUGCAGUGUAGCUACAAACAGCCAAUGGGAGACAGCCAGGCGCGGCAGUUGGGGUGGGGCAGGACCGAGGCUGGACCGGAAGCGGGCUGUCUCUGUGACCGGAAGAUCAGCUCAAGGCCGCUGCAGUUUCCGCUGCAGCAUCCGGGGCGGGUCUAAGAACGCGGAGGCGAAUUGGAUGGAGUAGGCGUAGGUGGCCGCGCUAUUCUGAGCGUCAUUCCAGGUGUACCUUCUGCUAGGGGGGAAGCAGAUUCAGAGGCUUUUCCAGCUGGGAGGACACAAUGCCUUGCCAGACACAGGAUUCUCCAGAACCCCAAGCUCUUGCCUCCACUGGCUGUGCUGCAGAAAGGAUACUGAGCUGCCAGAGAGCGUGAGGGCUGGGAAUAUAGCCCCUGAUACCAUGCUGGAGAGGACAAUGAUGAAGCAAUUGGGUGGGACUGUGCAGAUACAGUAAUUGUGGCCCACCAAAGGGGAUUGGUUGUUCUGCCAUCCAUCUGGGCUUGUAAUGAGCCACCCCAGAGGCAGGAAA